rnacentral:rRNA from 1 species
GUAGGUGGGCAAGCGUUGUCCGGAAUUAUUGGGCGUAAAGCGCGCGCAGGGCGGUCCUUUAAGUCUGGAUGUGAAAAGCCCACGGCUCAACCGUGGAGGGUCAUUGGAAACUGGGGGACUUGAGUACAGAAGAGGAAAGCGGAAUUCCAAGUGUAGCGGUGAAAUGCGUAGAGAUUUGGAGGAACACCAGUGGCGAAGGCGGCUUUCUGGUCUGUAACUGACGCUGAGGCGCGAAAGCGUGGGGAGCAAACAGGAUUAGAUACCCUGGUAGUCCACGCCGUAAACGAUGAGUGCUAAGUGUUAGGGGGUUUCCGCCCCUUAGUGCUGCAGCUAACGCAUUAAGCACUCCGCCUGGGGAGUACGGCCGCAAAGGCUG